rnacentral:tRNA from 1 species
UAAAAGUUAGUUAAUAUAAAUAACAUUAAAUUGUCAAUUUAAAAUAAUUUUAAUUAUAAAAUACUUUUAU